AAAUUUCAGCAAAUCAAGUCAAAUGACGCGCAUUGCGAACAUAACCCAGCCAAACCGUCGCUAGUUCGCCAUUUCAUCCUUCGUCGCGCUUACGUGGCUGAGUGUCGACAUGUGAUCUUUCGAUCGUACGCGGAUAAACCCUGAAAGGGCACUAAGUGCUAAUUAAAUUUCAGUUACUAACAUCGCUGACUUGAGAGAACACUCUUGAUCUCUGAACGGUUUGCUCGGGAUGAAUACCAUGGUCUUCAUUUCAAUUUCACCCAUUGUUUUGGAUAGAAGAAGUACAGAAUGACACACAGCAAUUUUCAUAAAACGCUACAAGAAUUAGAUGCAGUUAAACUAAGUUUAGCUGCAUACCACAAAACAAUCAUUGAGGAACAAAAAAAAAUCGAGACGCUGAUACACCAGGACGAGAAGGACUAUCGGGCGCUGGAUGACGAUGUCUCCAAAUUGGUAAAACAUAGGGAUAAAAAGAAGGAAACAAUAACGAAACGUCGUCAAAGCUUGAAUGAAUUUACCAAAAAAAAAAAUGAGAUAGAAAAACAACUGGAGGAAACGGUGAAAAACCUGAAGAUGUUUGUUGUGGAUAAAUAAAACGAAAAA